UGGGCAGUAUCCUGUGCUCAGAGAAUAGCAAAUGUCCUGAGAGGGUUGAAGACCCAGGGCUGAACUCAGAAGCCACAUUUUAGCUUUGCAGCAAGUUGCUCACAUUGCAGAAUCUUCUGGGAGAGCCACCUGCUGGCUGUCCUGUGACACAUGGACUGAAGCAACCGCUUGGACCUCCAGGCUGGCCCUGUAGACCCUGGUGCAUCCUGGAGAAAGCCAACAGAAACAGGCUGCAUGCACAGCACUCCCUCCCCACUCGCUGAGGGGCUCUCGGUCACUGCGUUUCUGAUACUCCUGCAGCUGUCUCAGAGGACCUAGCUAAGUCCAGAGAUACCACGUGACAGACACAGGAAGAGGCCUCGUACCUGGCAAAAAAAUCUGGAGGUGGCGGGAUCCCAUCCACCUGUGACCUCUGGCUUUUGUCACCGGGGCUGCCCUGAGUCAGAAUGGGCCAGAAAAGUUAAUGCUUAACCCGGAGGUUCUGAGAGAGCCGCUGGCCACUACGUCAGCACUCCGAGGGGACUCGGGUCAUCGCAGACAACCAGCCCUGGUUCAAAGUCCGGAGUCCCCACGAGGUUGCCUGCCAGUGGGAGAAUGCUGGUGUUGAUGCCCCAGAACUUGAGGACUGUGGUUCCAGAAUGCUGACCAUGGUGGGCAGCUACAGCCUCAGGCUGAACCUGUGGGUGACCGUGUGGCUGGUAUCCAUGGGACAGGUCCAUGCUGACUCAG